AUUUGGUGUUGAGGCCAUUUGAUGCAUAAUUUCUUGAAUCUCUCCCAAUAAUCAUAGAGCAACUCUCAUGGAUAUUACUUGAUACAACAUAUCUCCUUCCUCAGAUU